ACGAACGCUGGCGGCGUGCUUAACACAUGCAAGUCGAACGGAAAGGCCCUGCUUUUGUGGGGUUCUCGAGUGGCGAACGGGUGAGUAACACGUGAGUAACCUGCCCUUGACUUUGGGAUAACUUCAGGAAACUGGGGCUAAUACCGGAUAGGAGCUCCUGCUGCAUGGUGGGGGUUGGAAAGUUUCGGCGGUUGGGGAUGGACUCGCGGCUUAUCAGCUUGUUGGUGGGGUAGUGGCUUACCAAGGCUUUGACGGGUAGCCGGCCUGAGAGGGUGACCGGCCACAUUGGGACUGAGAUACGGCCCAGACUCCUACGGGAGGCAGCAGUGGGGAAUAUUGCACAAUGGGCGGAAGCCUGAUGCAGCAACGCCGCGUGCGGGAUGACGGCCUUCGGGUUGUAAACCGCUUUCGCCUGUGACGAAGCGUGAGUGACGGUAAUGGGUAAAGAAGCACCGGCUAACUACGUG
rnacentral:rRNA from 1 species